rnacentral:rRNA from 1 species
GACGAACGCUGGCGGCGUGCUUAACACAUGCAAGUCGAACGGAAAGGCCCCUUUCGGGGGGUACUCGAGUGGCGAACGGGUGAGUAACACGUGAGUAACCUGCCCUUGACUUUGGGAUAACUUCAGGAAACUGGGGCUAAUACCGGAUAGGAGCUCCUGCUGCAUGGUGGGGGUUGGAAAGUUUCGGCGGUUGGGGAUGGACUCGCGGCUUAUCAGCUUGUUGGUGGGGUAGUGGCUUACCAAGGCUUUGACGGGUAGCCGGCCUGAGAGGGUGACCGGCCACAUUGGGACUGAGAUACGGCCCAGACUCCUACGGGAGGCAGCGGUGGGGAAUAUUGCACAAUGGGUGGAAGCCUGAUGCAGCAACGCCGUGUGCGGGAUGACGGCCUUCGGGUUGUAAACCGCUUUCGCUCAUGACGAAGCUUUGUGUGACGGUAGUGGGUAAAGAAGCACCGGCUAACUACGUG